rnacentral:rRNA from 1 species
CGUAUGGUGCAAGCGUUAUCCGGAUUUACUGGGUGUAAAGGGUGCGUAGGUGGUAUGGCAAGUCAGAAGUGAAAGGCUGGGGGCUCAACCCCGGGGACUGCUUUUUGAAACUGUCAAACUAGAGUACAGGAGAGGAAAGCGGAAUUCCUAGUGUAGCGGUGAAAUGCGUAGAUAUUAGGAGGAACACCAGUGGCGAAGGCGGCUUUCUGGACUGAAACUGACACUGAGGCACGAAAGCGUGGGGAGCAAACAGGAUU